AUUGAACGCUGGCGGCAGGCCUAACACAUGCAAGUCGAGCGAGCGGCGGACGGGUGAGUAAUGUAUGGGGACUGCCCGAUAGCGGGGGAUCACUACUGGAAACGGUGGCUAAUACAGCAUACUGUCGGAUAACCCAUAUGGGAUUAGCUAGUAGGUAAGGUAAUGGCUUACCUAGGCGACGAUACCUAGCUGGUCUUAGAGGAUGAUCAGCCACACUGGGACUGAGACACGGCCCAGAAUCCUACGGAGGCAGCAGGGGGGAAUAUUGCAAAAUGGGCGCAAGCAGGAUGCAGCCAUGCCGCGUGUAUGAAGAAGGCCAUAGGGUUGUAAAGUACUUUCAGACGGGAGGCGUUACCGAAAGAAGAAGCACCGGCUAACUACGUGCCAGCAGCCGCGGUAAGUC
rnacentral:rRNA from 1 species